rnacentral:snoRNA from 1 species
AUUCAGUGCCCUAAACUAAGCACAUCAGACUUGCAGAAGAAGCCUGCACCAGAGCAAGCUGAGGAUGACUGCGCAAAAGCCAGCCCUUCCACGUGCAAUUUCCCUCUGAUAGUUCCUGGGUACUGUUGCCACAGUGAUAAUGACUGUCCCGUGUCAUUUUCUAUCCACCAACAGUAAGAGAAGCUUUGCAGUUGAAAUAUCAUUUAACAGACAGAGUGGUUCCUGUUGGACACUAAGUCCUGCUACAAAU